CAGUAGAGAGAGCGCUUUACUCUUGUGUGCACGCAGAUUAAGGACAACCCUCGCUUCCUGUUCCUGAUCUUCACUGAGGUCAUCUCACUGUUACCUGGGUCUGGCUUCUGGAUUGUCCUCUUCUUCCUGUUGCUGCUGACUCUGGGGUUGUGUUCCAAUCUCAUGUUCAUGCUGGGCAACGUUUUGACACUCCAGGACACCUUCCCCUUCUGCAGGAGACAGCCGAGGUUGCUCAUAGGGUGCGUUUCCAUGGCGAUGUUCCUGUGCGGCCUCAUCUUCAUCCAACCUUCAGGCAUCUACUACUUUUCACUGCUGAGUGAAUGCUGGGUAGCAGUGCCCGUCAUCAUCAUCAUCAUAUGCGAAAACCUUGCUGUCGCCUGGGCCUACGGGGCCGACAGGAGACAGCCGAGGAUACUCCCCUGCUCCCCGACUGCCUCAACACCAGUCCUGGCCUAUGAUCUCCCCUUAGCCCCUUCAUCUGCCUGACACAUGCAUGCAUGCGUGUGAGCUUAUGAGUGGGUGUUUCUGCUUCUGUGUACACCCGAGGCGAUGGAAGGUGCAAACAAGAGGAUCCCAGGGCCCUGAUAGCCAGGGAGUACAGCUCGGAGUUCAGUGAGAGACCUCGUCUCAGGAAAGUCAGGAAGCCGCCUGGCACCCAGCUCCAGCUUCCACAUCAGUGCACAGGUGCAUCCAGCACAAGGCACGAAGAGAUCAAAGGCUCCGUUGGUUCAGUGUAGGUGUGUGUGGUCCGACUCCUUCAGGGAGGAGCCAUGCUUCAUGUGUCAGUGCUGUGCCUGUGUGUGUGUGUGUGUGUGUGCGUGUGUGUGCGUGUGUGUGUGUGUGUGUGUGCCUGUGUGUGUGUGUGUGUGUGUGCCUGUGUGUGUGUGUGCCUGUGUGUGUGUGUGUGUGUGCCUGUGUGCCUGUGUGUGUGUGUGUGUGUGUGUGUGUGUGUGAGCAGAUCUGUAAGCUUGCCUGCACCGGAGACCCCGAGGAAACAUCCUGCUGGAAGCUGUCGCGGAACAAGGAAUCCUGAGAAGCUGGAAUAGGAUUAGGAGUUUUGAGGACAGAAGGUGGGGCCUUGUAAACCAUGAUAUGACCUAGCUUUGUGUGUAGCGUGUACCAAAAAAUCCACUGGGUGGUUUGUAAUAAGGAGUACCACUGUCAGAUUUAAAUUUUCUCCUUCUUUCUUCUUCUUCUUCCUCCUCCUCCUCCUCCUUCUUUCUUCUUCUUCUUCUUCUUCUUCUUCUUCUUCUUCUUCUUCUUCUUCUUCUUCUUCUUCUUCUUCCUCCUCCUCCUCCUCCUCCUCCUCCUCCUCCUCCUUCUUCUUCUUCUUCUUCGACAGGAUCUCACAAUAUAUCCCUGGCUGUCCUGGAACUUGCUAUGUAGACCAGGCUGGCCUCACAUGGGGAUCAACCUGCCUCUGCCUCAGUGCUAGGAUUAAAGGCAUGUGCCAUCAAAAAAAAAAAUUUUUUUUUUAAAGAAGGCACCUCUGGUGGCUUUGUGGAGGAAAAUCAAGCACAACCAAGGAGGAGACUUGGGAGGCUGUGUAUGAUUUAAAACAGGAGCUGGCGGUGUCUUCCGCUAGUGUGACAAAGACAUGGUGCUCCCACAAUGGCCUGGUCUGGGAACUGGAGUGGAACGGAGCGGCCUCAGCCUCCAGUCCGAGGCUCCUCUCUUGUGGCUCAGAUCUGAACUGUCAGCCACAAGCCUGUGUUUUGGAUAUUUUGUGUCUCUCGAGUAAGGCGUUUUUGAAGGCUGUGCAGCCUUUAGGUGGCUGGGUCUGGCUGGAGAGGUGAUACUCGACCCUGACGCUAGCAGGCUUCCUCUGCUCCCGAGUCCACUCCAUGUUCCAGCUGCCAUGGAUGGAGCCAUCUCUGCAGCCAUUUCUUCCCCAUCAUGACGAUCACAUUCCCGUCAAAAUCAAGAGCCCUAGUAAACCUUGCCUCCCUUACAUUUCUUUCUGUCAGGUGUUUUGUCACAGCAGCUCAAAAAUUAAUAGAGUGGGCAUAAUGUGGCAGGCCUUUCAUCUUGCACAUCGGAGACAGAGGAAGGGGGAUCUCAGUGAGGUCUAGGACAGUCUGACCUACAUGGAUUCUGUCUCCAAAGAGAAGAAAUGAUAGGACACACAGUGGUGUAGGUCCAAGGCAGAAGGUGUUGAGGACCCCAGAGUCCUUAUAUGGAGGUACACUGUAGCUGUCUUCAGACACACCGGAAGAGGGUGUCGGAUCCCAUUACUGAGGACCUCUGGAAGAGCAGUCAGUGAUCUUAACCGCUGAGCCAUCUCUCCAGCCCCUCACCUAAUAUUUUAAAAAUUAUUAUUUUUUGUGUAUAAAUGCUUUGCCUGCAUGCAUGUCUGUGCACCACACGUGUGCCUGGUGCUCAUGGAGGCCACAAGAGGGCAUCAGCUUCCCUAGAACUGGCGUCAUGGAUAGUUGUGAGCUGCCAUGUGGGUGCUGGGAAUCAAACCUGGGCCCUCAGCCAGAGCAGCCAGUGUUCUUCAUUGAGAAAUCUCUCGAGCCCCGUAUAUUCUUUCGUGCCCUUUGUGUGGCUGAGCGUAUGUGUAUGGGCAUGUGUGUGACACAGUGAAUGUGCGGAGAUCUGAGGACAGCUUGUGGGAGUUGGUUCUUUCCCCCUAUCAUGUUGGUCCCAGAGAUUGAACUCAAAGUUAUCAGGCUUGGCAGCAAAUGCCUUUCCCUGCUGAGCCAACUCAAUGGUUAUCAGCAGACAUUUGAGACUCAAUUGUGGCUGUGUAAGUGUUUGUGUGAUGUGCACUCGAGGUCUCUCAUUGAACCUGGAGCUCUCCAGCCAGACUGGCUGGCUAGCAAGCCUCAGAGACCCUCGUGUCUCCACUGUGUCCCCAGUGCUGGGAAGGCAGGUGUACACCACUGUGCCUGGCUUUUUUGUGUAUAUUGAAGCCAUCUCCCUGGUGCCAGGAAACACUUUUGGUUCUGGGAUGAACCCAUCAUAUUGAGCUGCUCUCAAAGCACAGGGUCUGUAGGAGAAGAGCAUGCGCAGACAGCCCAGUGGGCGUCCCAAGCCCACAGUGGAGGUAAGUGGAGAGAGGCACUGAGGGGGAGGAUGGAGAUGUCAGACAGGCAGGAGUGCCCAGGAUGCCGUUCUGAAGCCAAGUCUGGACAGAGCGAUGGAGAGGAGAGGAGGACCCAGAAACCUGGUCUUCUCAGUCAAAGGGCUUUGGGAGUGUGUGUGUGUAAAAAUCUGAGACCACAUGGCUGAAAGAAUCCAAGACUGAGUUCCUGAGGCCCAGUGCUGUCUGGGUUCUGUUUGCUUGGCUUAUGUGGCUCAGUGUUGGGUACCUAGCACCCAGAUGGGUCUUUGCCACAUCACAGAUGUCAUCCCAGGAUGGCUGAGAGGAGUGUGGGACCCAUGGGUGGUGUUGGUUAGCAGGGGGCUGGAGGACAGACUAAUCAAGGCGAGAGCAGGAGGGCUGACAUAAAACAGGCCUGAGCUGCCAUUGCCUCCCCUCCCCUCUGAGGCGGGGAGGCCGGACUGGCUGCCACAUUCUGUGUCCCUCAACAGGUUCCUUGCAGACAUGGUGGCUCUGCUGGGCCGGCCCAUUUUCUCUGGCUGUGGCUGGCUGUGGUGCUACAUCUCCCCAAUGGUGGUGCUAGGCCUGUUAACGUCCGUCUUCGUAUACCUUGUCAAGGGGCCCCUUGUCUACUUUGCCUGGGACUCAAGCACUGCCAAAGAGGUGGUUCGUGUUUUCCCAGAGUGGUCCAAGAUCCUGAUUGCUGGGCUGACUGUCUUUGUCCUCAUGCCCAUCCCUGCAUACUUUGUAUACUGCCUCACCCUGGGGAUUCCCUUCAGAUCUACACCAUCCAGUAAGCUACCACUGGGCAGUGGCCAGCUCCAGUCUACAAAGGAGGCCUCAAAGGAUAUUCUACAAGACUACAAAACAGAGUCCUAAUGAGCCUGUCAGCAGAGCCCCCAACUUCCCUCAUUAGGCCAGACAUCUUGCAUCUCUUACAGCAGACCAAAGAGGCAGCUCUGAACAGCAGCUUAAAGCGAUCACCAGCCUGGAUUGCUCAGGGCAGCAGAGCUGUGGGGCCCGCUGGCUUUGCAGCACAUUCCUGGCUGGGAUCUUCCAUUGUCAUACAGUGCAUCCCCAGACCCUCGCUCAGUGCACCGAGGUUGUCCUGCCAGCCCUGCUCCUGGUCUGAGAGUCUCCUGCACGGUGACGGGGAAGGGUGGGGCUGCUGGCUAAUAAAUCAGUCACUGCAGCACCAGACUGCGUGAGGCUCGAUUUCUGUAGAUGUCGCAGGCAGUUGGCCUUCACAGUGCCGCCAUUUGGUUUUGAGAGCCACAGAUCUAGCCCCGUGUUCCCAGCGCCUCACCAAUCCAGAUGCUCAGUCAGCCCCCAGGCCUUGCCCAGAGCAUGCUCCUCAGCCGAGAGGACCCGAAAAUGCCCUCAACGAACUAGGAAAGGGAGAAUCGUGCUUGCUGCUAAGAAUAGUAAUCCCAUCCCAGG
rnacentral:lncRNA from 1 species